UGGGGAAUAUUGCACAAUGGGCGCAAGCCUGAUGCAGCCAUGCCGCGUGUGUGAAGAAGGCCUUCGGGUUGUAAAGCACUUUCAGCGGGGAGGAAGGCGUUAAGGUUAAUAACCUUGGCGAUUGACGUUACCCGCAGAAGAAGCACCGGCUAACUCCGUGCCAGCAGCCGCGGUAAUACGGAGGGUGCAAGCGUUAAUCGGAAUUACUGGGCGUAAAGCGCACGCAGGCGGUCUGUCAAGUCGGAUGUGAAAUCCCCGGGCUCAACCUGGGAACUGCAUUCGAAACUGGCAGGCUAGAGUCUUGUAGAGGGGGGUAGAAUUCCAGGUGUAGCGGUGAAAUGCGUAGAGAUCUGGAGGAAUACCGGUGGCGAAGGCGGCCCCCUGGACAAAGGCUGACGCUCAGGUGCGAAAGCGUGGGGAGCAAACAGG
rnacentral:rRNA from 1 species